UACGUAGGGCGCAAGCGUUGUCCGGAAUUAUUGGGCGUAAAGAGCUCGUAGGCGGCUUGUCACGUCGGGUGUGAAAGACCGGGGCUUAACCCCGGUUCUGCAUUCGAUACGGGCCGGCUAGAGUGUGGUAGGGGAGAUCGGAAUUCCUGGUGUAGCGGUGAAAUGCGCAGAUAUCAGGAGGAACACCGGUGGCGAAGGCGGAUCUCUGGGCCAUUACUGACGCUGAGGAGCGAAAGCGUGGGGAGCGAACAGG
rnacentral:rRNA from 1 species